GAUGAAGAACGCAGCAAAAUGCGAUAAGUAAUGUGAAUUGCAGAAUUCAGUGAAUCAUCGAAUCUUUGAACGCACAUUGCGCCCGCCAGUAUUCUGGCGGGCAUGCCUGUUCGAGCGUCAUUUCAACCCUCAAGCACAGCUUGGUGUUGGGACUCGCGUUAAUUCGCGUUCCCCAAAUUGAUUGGCGGUCACGUCGAGCUUCCAUAGCGUAGUAGUAAAACCCUCGUUACUGGUAAUCGUCGCGGCCACGCCGUUAAACCCCAACUUCUGAAUGUUGACCUCGGAUCAGGUAGGAAUACCCGCUGAACUUAAGCAUAUCAUUAAGCGGAGGA
rnacentral:misc_RNA from 1 species